UCGAACGAGGCCUUCGGGUCUAGUGGCGGACGGGUGAGUAAUGCUUGGGAAUCUACCUAGUAGUGGGGGAUAACGUGUGGAAACGCACGCUAAUACCGCAUACGUCCUACGGAAGAAAGCAGGGGACCUUCGGGCCUUGCGCUAUUAGAUGAGCCCAAGUCGGAUUAGCUAGUUGGUAGGGUAAAGGCCUACCAAGGCGACGAUCCGUAGCUGGUCUGAGAGGAUGAUCAGCCACACUGGAACUGGUACACGGUCCAGACUCC
rnacentral:rRNA from 1 species